AUCGAACGCUGGCGGCAGGCCUAACACAUGCAAGUCGAACGAGUGGCGGACGGGUGAGUAAUGUCUGGGAAACUGCCUGAUGGAGGGGGAUAACUACUGGAAAAGGUAGCUAAUACCGCAUACCAUCGGAUGUGCCCAGAUGGGAUUAGCUAGUAGGUGGGGUAAUGGCUCACCUAGGCGACGAUGCCUAGCUGGUCUGAGAGGAUGACCAGCCACACUGGAACUGAGACACGGUCCAGACGCCUACGGGAGGCAGCAGUGGGGAAUUUUGGGCAAUGGGCGAAAGCCUGAUGCAGCCAUGCCGCGUGUAUGAAGAAGGCCUUCGGGUUGUAAAGUACUUUCAGCGGGGAGGCGUUACUCGCAGAAGAAGCACCGGCUAACUACGUGCCAGCAGCCGCGGUAAUAC
rnacentral:rRNA from 1 species